rnacentral:misc_RNA from 1 species
GAUGAAGAACGCAGCGAAAUGCGAUACUUGGUGUGAAUUGCAGAAUCCCGUGAACCAUCGAGUCUUUGAACGCAAGUUGCGCCCGAAGCCACUAGGCCGAGGGCACGCCUGCCUGGGCGUCACACGUCGUUGCCCCCCCCCCAUCUACUCCUUCGGGAUUGCGGGGGGCGGAUGAUGGCCUCCCGUGCGCCUAGCCGCGCGGUUGGCAUAAAUACCAAGUCCUCGGCGACGCACGCCACGACAAUCGGUGGUUGCGAAACCUCGGUUGCCCGUCGUGUGCGUUCGUCGCGCAUCGAGGGCUCGAAAAAAUGCUCGGCUCCGGCUCGGCUUUCAACGCGACCCCAGGUCAGGCGGGGUUACCCGCUGAAUUUAAGCAUAUCAUAAGCGGAGGA